rnacentral:tRNA from 1 species
CCCGUGUGGCUCAGUUGGUAGAGCAUGGUGUUUGCAACGCCAGGGUUGUGGGUUCGAUUCCCACGCGGGG